rnacentral:rRNA from 1 species
UACGGAGGGGGCUAGCGUUGCUCGGAAUUACUGGGCGUAAAGGGAGCGUAGGCGGACAGGUUAGUCAGAGGUGAAAGCCCAGGGCUCAACCCUGGAAUUGCCUUUGAUACUGGCUGUCUUGAGUACGGGAGAGGUGUGUGGAACUCCGAGUGUAGAGGUGAAAUUCGUAGAUAUUCGGAAGAACACCAGUGGCGAAGGCGACACACUGGCCCGUUACUGACGCUGAGGCUCGAAAGCGUGGGGAGCAAACAGG